rnacentral:lncRNA from 1 species
CAUGGAGGAGGUUAAAGAAGAGAAACCGAUAGGAACCAACAAGUGCAGAGAGAAGAUGAUUCAUGUCUUCACCGUGCGCAACUCAAUAACAUAUUCGUCUGAAACUCUUCGUCACGGAGAUACCGCUUGCUAACCCGCUCUCUCCCCUCUCGUCAUCGUCACGGUUCUGUUCUCUGGUACCAACCAUCUCUUACGUACUCCUAUUUCGAUUUUGAAAUUAGAUCGUGUUUCUUCAUCGAUUUCAUUGAACUCGAUCUCUUAGUAUGCGUUUCUGGUUGUUGACUGGUAGUAGUAGGAAGAGAGCAAGUUAAAGAACUAAGGAGGAAGCUACAAUGAUAUGUGUUCAGAGAGAGAGAGAGCAAAAUUUGUUUCUGGCUUGUCUCUAAGUCCCUGGUGAUGGUGAUUGGUGAGAGUCUUCCUUAAUUUCUUUAUAAUAACUGUCGUUUAUUCUCGAGCAAAGCUUUGCGGAAUGUAUUACAGAGAGGAGCUUAAUCUCUCUUCUCUUUAUCUCAGAACCUUUCGAUAUGAGGAAAGCAUCUCUGUCAAAGAAAGAUGAUGAAGUUUCUUCGAGAUUGAAGUCUUGGCCCAAGAAGAUAUAAAGACUUUGGAAAACGUCACACAGGUUGUUUCAUUUCUUUUAUGAUAACUGUUUUUCUUUCACUUUUUAUUUUCGGAUGUUUAAAUUAAAAUCUAAAUAUUUUCACUAGUAAAGGUAUUAUUAGCCAUAAAAAUAUUUUCAGAUUUAACACAAAAUUAUAAAUAUUAUCACAAAUAAUGGUAUUAAUAACCAUACAAAACAUUUGACACAUUUUGGAUU